rnacentral:sRNA from 1 species
ACAGUGGUGUGAUGAAUAUCAACUCAAGCAAAGAUAUGCUGGGGCAGGAUUGCAAAAGAGGUGAUGUGGGAUCUAAACCCUGAGCCCUGAGUGCUGGAGACAGCAAAGGAUCCCGAUUUCCCUAACCGCGCCAAAUAUGUGCCGCUGGGAACCCAGUGUUGGGAGUGAUGAUGAGUCCAACUCUGAGGGCCAGACCCCAUCAUUGCCAGUGUUGAUUGAAGAUGGUGGAGUGACAAUGG